rnacentral:rRNA from 1 species
GUGUCAGCAGCCGCGGUAAUACGGAGGGGGCUAGCGUUGUUCGGAAUUACUGGGCGUAAAGCGCACGUAGGCGGACCGGAAAGUUGGAGGUGAAAUCCCAGGGCUCAACCUUGGAACUGCCUUCAAAACUAUCGGUCUGGAGUUCGAGAGAGGUGAGUGGAAUUCCGAGUGUAGAGGUGAAAUUCGUAGAUAUUCGGAGGAACACCAGUGGCGAAGGCGGCUCACUGGCUCGAUACUGACGCUGAGGUGCGAAAGCGUGGGGAGCAAACAGGAUUAGAAACCCCUGUAGUCC